UAUUAACUGGAGGAAGGUGGGGAUGACGUCUAGUCAUCAUGGCCCUUACGACCAGGGCUACACACGUGCUACAAUGGCGCAUACAAAGAGAAGCGACCUCGCGAGAGCAAGCGGACCUCAUAAAGUGCGUCGUAGUCCGGAUUGGAGUCGGCAACUCGACUCCAUGAAGUCGGAAUCGCUAGUAAUCCUGGAUCAGAAUGCCACGGUGAAUACGUUCCCGGGCUUUGUACACACCGCCCGUCACACCAUGGGAGUGGGUUG
rnacentral:rRNA from 1 species